GAUGAACGCUGGCGGCGUGCCUAAUACAUGCAAGUCGAGCGAAUGGAUUAAGAGCUUGCUCUUAUGAAGUUAGCGGCGGACGGGUGAGUAACACGUGGGUAACCUGCCCAUAAGACUGGGAUAACUCCGGGAAACCGGGGCUAAUACCGGAUAACAUUUUGAACCGCAUGGUUCGAAAUUGAAAGGCGGCUUCGGCUGUCACUUAUGGAUGGACCCGCGUCGCAUUAGCUAGUUGGUGAGGUAACGGCUCACCAAGGCAACGAUGCGUAGCCGACCUGAGAGGUUGAUCGGCCACACUGGGACUGAGACACGGCCCAGACUCCUACGGGAGGCAGCAGUAAGGAAUCUUCCGCAAUGGACGAAAGUCUGACGGAGCAACGCCGCGUGAGUGAUGAAGGCUUUCGGGUCGUAAAACUCUGUUGUUAGGGAAGAACAAGUGCUAGUUGAAUAAGCUGGCACCUUGACGGUACCUAACCAGAAAGCCACGGCUAACUACGUGCCAGCAGCCGCAGUAA
rnacentral:rRNA from 1 species